rnacentral:lncRNA from 1 species
GCUGGCAUGAUCUCAUCAUGGUCCUAAAACCAUUGCACUAAUCUAUGAGAUUCGUCAUAAUCAUAAAUAUGAUACAACAAAUGAUGAAAUACAAUGCCUCAUAAAUAUAUAUAAAAUAAUCAAUAUCAUGCAAAUGAGUAAGAAGAUAACUUAGAAUAGUCUUAUCACAUCAUCCAUGUGAUUGACUUGUAGAGUACUAUUCUUUCAAUUUUUCACUUGCACUAAAGCCAAUCGCCUCUAUACUUGAUGCCCAUGCAAUCAAGAUAGUAAACACACUACUGCUAUGUCA